UGUCACACCCCCUCCCCACCCUGAAGUGUCCCCAGGGCUGUCCCCAGCAGGGUCUUGCAGUGCCAGCCCUGCCUCAGUGUCCCCAAAGCCCUGGAGAUGUCCCCAGGUCCCUGGAGGGGUCCCCAAAACCCUGGGAAUGUCCCCAAACCUGUGGUGAUGUCCCCAGGUGUCCCCAAAACCCUGGGAAUGUUUCUGUCCAAGCCCUUCCUCAGUGUCCCCAAAGCCCUGGAGGUCUCCCCAGACCUGUGGAGAUGUCCCCAGGUGUCCCCAAAGCCCUGGAAAUGUCCCCAAAGCCCUGGAAGUGUCCCCAAAG